rnacentral:tRNA from 1 species
GGCUUUAUAGUCAAUAAUGAUAUUAGACUGCAAUUCUAAAGGAGUAGAAACUACUAGAGCUU